ACAGUUGGGAUCAAAAGUCGGUCUAUUCCAUCUGUCAAAGUGACGUUUUAAACGUCAAACCAAAAUUUGUAUGCGAAAUAGUUACAAACUCGCUUAUUUUUCCUCAAUUCUAUCAGUGGAAUAGACUCAUUAAAAAAUAAACGAUGUUGUGAUUAUUAGGCUAAAUUUUUUUGUUUUGACGUUUAAAACGUCACUUUGACAGAUGUAAUAGACCGACAUUUGAUACCAACUGUCACAUAUCACAAAAUUUAAUGAG